rnacentral:rRNA from 1 species
UGCGUAGGCGGAUUAAUAAGUCAGUGGUGAAAUCUCUCGGCUCAACCGGGAAACUGCCAUUGAUACUGUUAAUCUUGAGUUCGGUUGAGGUAGGCGGAAUGUGUAAUGUAGCGGUGAAAUGCUUAGAUAUUACACAGAACACCAAUUGCGUAGGCAGCUUACUAGACCGACACUGACGCUGAGGCACGAAAGCGUGGGUAGCGAACAGGAUUAGAUACCCUGGUAGUC